GAAUGACGCAAAUUAACUACCGUAAAUUCCGGAAUAUAGAGCGCACCUGAAUAUAAGCUGCACCACCUAAAUUUAGAACGAAAAAAUGUGUACAUAUAUAAGCCACACCUCUCCACGCGGCAGAAAAUUGACUACUGACGCAACACAUCUACUCCAACGUCUCACCAUUGAUUCAUUAAUGAGCGUUGAGCUCCAGGUUGUCCUGGCUGCACCACGACAACAGAUGGUCAGACUCCCACCUGUAGGCGGACUCAUCCCCACCGGAGAUCAGUCCAAUGAGGGUGGUGUCAUCCGCAAACUACAGGAGCUUGAUGGACUGGUGACUGGAGGCGCAGGUGUUGGUGUACAGGGAGAAGAGCAGAGUGGAGUGAACGCAGCCUCGGGGGGAACCGGUGCUGAGCUCCCAACUGGACAAGGACGUGUCAGGUGACCAAAACAACAGAUUUUAUAUACGGAAACCCUGCAAAGAAUCAUUCUCUUUCCUGCAGACUACGGUCAGCAACUGAUUGACACACCAUAACUUUAGUCUUAACUUUGCUGGAAGGUCAAAGACUUUAUUUUGCUCUCUCUCACUUCCCGACCACUGGGGUUUUCCGCUAAGGAGCUUGAUUUGCUCAAAUAACAGCAAAAACGUCCUGACUGAACCUAUCACAUAGUACGUUUCUGUGCAGAUUAUAUAGUGUAUUAUAUGAACUUUAAUAUGACCAGACGGAACGGCCCUCA
ensembl:lncRNA